rnacentral:rRNA from 1 species
AUUGAACGCUGGCGGCAGGCUUAACACAUGCAAGUCGAGCGGGGGGAGGUAGCUUGCUACCGGACCUAGCGGCGGACGGGUGAGUAAUGCUUAGGAAUCUGCCUAUUAGUGGGGGACAACAUCUCGUAAGGGAUGCUAAUACCGCACACGUCCUACGGGAGAAAGCAGGGGAUCUUCGGACCUUGCGCUAAUAGAUGAGCCUAAGUCGGAUUAGCAAGUUGGUGGGGUAAAGGCCUACCAAGGCGACGAUCUGUAGCGGGUCUGAGAGGAUGAUCCGCCACCAGGGGACUGAGACACGGCCCAGACUCCUACGGGAGGCAGCAGUGGGGAAUAUUGGACAAUGGGGGGAACCCUGAUCCAGCCAUGCCGCGUGUGUGAAGAAGGCCUUAUGGUUGUAAAGCACUUUAAGCGAGGAGGAGGCUACUUUAGUUAAUACCUAGAGAUAGUGGACGUUACUCGCAGAAUAAGCACCGGCUAACUCUGUGCCAGCAGCCGCCGUAA